UUUGAGAUCGGAAAAUGUGACAUUCAACUUCUUUCUCUUUGUACGCAUUUCCACUUCAUAUUUAACACCUAUAUCUCUGCCCUUAAGAAGCAUGAUCAAUCAGGCCUUGUGCUGCCGGAAUUUUGUUCGGCCUUUGGUAUAAAGGUUCGGUUUAGUGAUCUAAUUGUACGUAUUGGCUUCACCACGUUAGAUUACCUUUAAUGUUUUGAGGAAGCUUAUAUGGAAACCACCUACUCUGGAAGUGGUCAAUGGUGAACAAGCGACCCAUUUGGAAUCUUUCAUGAGUUGAAGUCCACCAACUUGAUCUUGAUAAAGGAUUGUGAGGAAAUCACUGUCAGUGUGAGGUACUAAUCCAAAAAUUUCUUCUUUAGAUUUUGGGCAGGACGGAUAGUGAUUCAACCUCAGAAAGCAUGUGCUGGCAUCACAGAGUUUUUCAACAGCAUCUGUUGGGUGGCCCAAGUUUUCUGCUAGAAUGCCAGCCAGUAGCCUAGACACUUCUAGCAUAGCUGGUGUAAACUUAUUUAUUGCUUCUCUGCAGACAGGUUUAGAAACAAAUUAGUAACUUCCAGUUCUUUCUAAGGGUGAAAUCAUGCAUGCACAACAUAACUGUCUGUCAUUCGAAGCAGGUUGGCUCUAGACAACUACAUUUUGCUCAGAAGGACUAGUCAGUGCUUGUCUGAGCAUAAAUUCUAGAAGCCAACCUGUCAAGAUCUGUAAUAACCUAACAAGUGGUCAUUUGGUCUAUAUUCAAAUAAUUUGAUUUAUCUCUCUGAGCAUAAAGUAAGUAUUCUAGAA